rnacentral:rRNA from 1 species
CAGCCGCCGCGGUAAUACGGAGGGUGCAAGCGUUAAUCGGAAUUACUGGGCGUAAAGCGCACGCAGGCGGUCUGUUAAGUCAGAUGUGAAAUCCCCGGGCUCAACCCGGGAACUGCAUUUGAAACUGGCAGGCUGGAGUCUUGUAGAGGGGGGUAGAAUUCCAGGUGUAGCGGUGAAAUGCGUAGAGAUCUGGAGGAAUACCGGUGGCGAAGGCGGCCCCCUGGACAAAGACUGACGCUCAGGUGCGAAAGCGUGGGGAGCAAACAGGAUUAGAUACCCCAGUAGUCCCUGUCUCUUAUAA